rnacentral:lncRNA from 1 species
AAAAAUAGAGAGAUUAAUUCGAACAUGUCUAAUCAGUAAGAGCAACUCCAGCAGGCCGGAGUUGCCAAAUUCGUAGACUAUAUUUGUGACGCCCCCAAAAUAGGUAUACAUCACCCAUCUUGAGUCGCCAAAUACAUGGUACAAAAAAUACAAAUACAACUUAAUAAUACAACUAUCGUGUAAAAUACGACAAAACAUAAACUGAGAGUUUUAAUAAGAAUAUUGUCAUCUAGACAAUAUCCACACUCAAUCGAGUCCUCAUUACAUUUAUUGUCACACUAUUUAAUAGAAUAGUGAGGACUACUAAUGCUAUCAUCUGGACAGUCACUCCUUUCCCAGACUCGUCCCAGCUAUAUUCUCAUUUCCUGAAGAGAACAGUGAAAGAAAAGGGUAAGCUCAACUAGCCCAGUAAGAAAUAUCGUGACUAAGAUAAUGCAGAAUAAAUUAUCAUUAGUCUUCAACAAUGUUAAACUAAUAAAAUAUAAUAGACAUCAAGUUUAAUUGCAGUGGAACAAGCAAUCCAUUAGAAGAGUCAAGUAGAGAAUAAAAUCUAUUAUCUACUAUCAUUUAAAAAGUUUUCAUCAAUUUUUAUCACUGAAACUCAGCUCAACAAAUAAACCACAUCAUCGAGUCAUCCCUGCACUACGGGCCAAGGAUAUUCAUUAAAUAAUCCAUGGUCAUGACUAUACCGAAUAAUCCCUGGUCAUAAUCAUACCAAAAACUGUCCAUCAAUGCACUACAGGCUACUGAGGACUUUUACCACCUCAUUUAUAACAUUACAGGUCAUGAUUAUACCGAAUGAUCCCUGGUCAUAAUCAUACAAAGUUCAUCUAUGCACGUAAGCCAAAGAUGACUUUUAUCAUAAUAUAAGCAUGACGAUGAUGACAAUGACAUAAUAAUUCAAUAAAACAAGUUCAAGAAUAAAUUUUAAAAAUUUAUAAGUUAAUUUAUCCUGAACUCAAUAAUGUCCAAAUUAUCAACAUGAUACUUCUUUGUGGAGUAAAAAUUCAAGAAUGUUCAGAAAAAUAUUUUCAUUAAAAGAUACUAGAUGAAGCGCAAAUAUCAAAGAUAUUUCACUAAUUUUAUGGAGUAUAGAAGUCAAAGCUUUAACCAACUAAGUAUAAGAGAAUAUAUAAAACUACAAAUGGAUUUUCGGCCGCCACGCGGUACUCCACUUAGACAGAUCAUUUCCAUAAUUUAAUAAGGAGUGAAUACAAAGGUUCAUUCACCAUGCAUGUGAUAAUCCACAUAGACAGGUUAUUCCAACAGAAUGAUAAAGAAUGGAAUAACAGAAGAAAUAAUCAUGCAUGCGAUAAACCGCACAGACAGGUUAUUCCAACAUAAUAAUAAAGAAUGAAACUAGGUCAUGCGUAAACAUACUGACAGGAUAUUCCGACAGAAUAAUAAAUAAUGGAACCAGGUCCGGCGUAAACGCACAGACAGGAUAUUUCGACAGAAUAAUAAAUGAUGGAACUAGGUCCGGCGUAAACGCACAGACAGGAUAUUUCGACAGAGUAAUAAAGAACGGAAUAAUAGAAGAAUUUCACCAUGUAUACGGUACUUCGCAUAAACAGGUUAUUCCAACAUAAUAAUGAAGAAUGGAAUAACAGAAUAAUUUCACCAUGUAUGCGGUACUUUGCAUAAAUAGGUUAUUCCAACAGAAUAAUAUGGGAUGGAAUAACAAUAGCUCUCUUCAUGAAUACGAAAGAAAUAAUACCCCUUACCUCAGAAGAAACUGGAUACUGGAAUAGUGACGUAGCAGGCUUCUCUUCUUCUUUCUCUUUAUAGAUUUUCCCUCUAUAGCUUCUCUCUAUAAUUUCUCUCUAUAAUAAUUGUUCUAUAGCUUUAGUGAAUUGGAGAGAAAUGAAGGAAGAAUGAGCUUCUAUUUAUAGAAAAAUAUAGUUUUGAUAAUUGCACGUUUUGGGGCUCGAAAAAUUACAGUACAAUACCUCCAACUUUUCUUUCAUUUUUAAUUUAGUCCUGCAAGUAUUAUCAAACUUGCACCACCUCCCCUAAUAGUAAAUAAUGUGAAUCAAUAGUUCAAUUAUGUUAAUCAAUAGUUAUAAUCAUGUGAAAAUACGAAUUACGGUAUAGUACCUCCAUCUAUACUUCCAUCUUUAAUUUAAUCAUGCAAGAAUUAUCAAUCUUGCACCAAUUCCCCUAAUAGUAUAAGAAUGUGAUUCAAUAGUACACACAUGUGAACAAAUAGUUAUAUAAGCAUGUGAAUUAGUAGCAAUUAAUUGAUCAUUUAUCCGAUAAAUUCCCUGAUUUAUCAAUAUAACCCCCAGACAUCAAUUAUCAUCUGAAUAGAUGUCGAUUACCACUAACAUUAAUAAUCCCAACACAAUGGAACUAUCAAAUUCAUCUUUAAUCAAUAUGAAAUUAUUCAUCAUUAAUAUUAUAACUCAUAAUAUUUAACAACCAGGUCGUUCUCAGGAAAGAGGGGGCUUUCCAAUAAGGAUUUCUCCCUAUUGGCGCGCAAUUAGGUGACCAAACCUCUCCUUGGCAGAAGUUCUAGACAUUAUAAAUAUUACAAUUUAAUAAUAUGAAUAACUUUAUCGUCUCAAUUAUUGAUUUAAUAAUAUAUCAUAUAGUGCAGAUGAUACUGUGACAAUAAUCGAAUCAAUAAUAUGAGAGAUAUGAUGCAAUAAUUACUGUAGCAAUAAUUAAGUAUAACUGAGUGACUUCUCACGUAAGCAUCAAUAACCAAUACCGUGUGCUACUAUGCAACCACGCGUAUUACUAUACUUUUACUACCGUGUAGUUCAACAGUUUUAACGAUAACACUUUCGCCUUUAUUUUUAUAACAAGAUAAUUCUGUCAUUUUCUUACUACGACAAUACUUCCGUUGUGGGGUCCACCAAUGAUUGUGCCGUCGUAUGAAUAUUCCCUGUUAAAACGAAUAUUCCCCGACCAAUCGAAUAUUAUAUAACCACUUGAUUACUUUGCAAAAUUUGUAAAUAUUACCCACAACUAUAACAUUAUAUAAUAUUCACACCAUAAUAUUCAAAAAUAUGUUUCGAGAGAAAUUAAUCUUUAUUCAUAAAAGUUGGGGUCUUACAACCUCCCCUUCUUAUGAAAUUUCGUCCUCGAAAUUAGGGUGUGUACCUGGUAUAUCGAAGAGGUGAGGAUAUCUUGACUUCAUCUCAGAUUCUAACUCCUAGGUCAUUUCUUCCACAUCGUGAUUUCUCCACAAAACUUUGACUUGAGGUAUAACCUUGGAGCAUAGAAUAUGAUCCUUCUUUUCCAAGAUUUUAACAAGUAACUCUUCAUACGUUAAAUCUUCCUCUAUCUCGUCUGGUUCUAAUUCAAUAAUGUGAUUCGGGUCUUUCACAUAUUUACGUAACAUAGAUAUGUGGAAAACGUUAUGAACAUGAGACAUACUUGGCGGUAAGGCGAGUCUAUAGGCCACAGUUCCUACUCGUUCGAGUAUUAUAAAUGGGCCAAUGAAUCGAGGAUUGAGUUUUUCUCUCUUUCCAAAUCUUGUAACUCCUUUCCAUGGAGCAACACGUAACAACACAUGAUCUCCAAUAUUGAAUUCCACGUCCUUUCGAUAAAGAUCAGCAUAACUCUUUUGUCGAUCUUGUGAGGUUUUUAUACGUUGUCGGAUUGUUUGAAUCUUUUCCGUAGUCAUACGUACCAAAUCCGGUCCCAACAACAUUGCUUCACCCACCUCAUCCCAACAUACUGGAGAACGACACUUUCUUCCAUAUAACGCCUCAAAUGGAGCCAUGCCAAUACUUGCUUGAUAACUAUUGUUGUAGGAAAACUCCACCAAUGGUAAGAACUUAUUCCAACUUCCCUUGAAGUCAAGGACACAUAGUCUUAAUAAAUCCUCAAGAGUUUGAAUAGUCCUCUCUGAUUGUCCGUCCGUUUGAGGAUGAUACGCCGAACUAAAUCGUAAAUUCGUGCCCAUAGCUUUUUGCAAACUAACCCAAAAUCUUGAAGUGAAUCUUGGGUCUCGAUCAGAAACUAUGGAUACUGGCAUACCAUGCAGUCUUACAAUCUCGUUUAUGUAUAUACGAGCAAGACGUUCAAAUGUAUAAGUUUCUCGUAUCGGUAAGAAAUGAGCAGACUUGGUCAAUCUAUCAACAAUGACCCAAAUCGCAUCUAUGCCUUGAGAAACCUUGGGAAGACCAGUAACGAAAUCCAUGGUAAUGUGCUCCCACUUCCAUUUUCAAGUGGUUGCAAUGGACCUUUUGGCACUUGAUGCUCCGCCUUGACUCGUUGACAAGUUAGACACCUUGAGAUAAACAGCGUUAUCUCUCUCUUCAUAUUGCUCCACCUAAAUGUAUGUCGAAGAUCACGAUACAUUUUGGUACUCCUAGGAUGGAUUGCAAACGGUGUGUUGUGCGCCUCCAUCAUGAUUUUAUACUUCAAAUCAGAAUCGUUAGGAACACAAAGUCUGGAGUUGACUCGAAGUAUUCCUUCUUCAUCGAUUCUUGCUUCCGGAAUAGCACCUUCUUGUACUUUUUUUCUCAUACGUAUCAGCUCUAGGUCUGUAGCUUGAGCAGCUUUAUCUUUAUCGAUUAAAGUUGGUUCCACUCGUAUAUUCGCCAUCAUCACAUGGGUCCCUGGAGUCUUUAACUCUAUUUCCAUCCUUUCCAAGUCAUACACAAUGGGCCUUUGCAUUGACAAUAAUUCACUCGUGCCCGCAUAUGAUCUUCUACUCAAUGCGUCAGCUACUACGUUCGUUUUUCCAGGAUGGUAUUGGAUGGUAUGAUCAUAAUCUUUCAACAACUCAAGUCAUCAUCGUUGUCGCAUGUUGAGUUCCUUUUGAGUGAAGAAAAUAUUUGAGGCUUUUAUGAUCCGUAUAGAUCUCCACCUUCUUUCCAUACAGGUAAUGCCUCCAAAUCUUAAGUGCGAAGACAACAGCUGCCAACUCUAGAUCAUGAGUAGGAUAAUUCUUCUUAUAUUCUUUGUCGUGAGGCAUAAGGUAUGACUUUCCCAUGUUUCAUGAGAACACAUCCUAACCCUUUACCUGAAACAUCACUGUAAAUGACAAAUCCCUCUGUGCUAGAUGGUAUUGUCAGAACAGGUACUGAAAUGAGUCUCCUCUUGAGUUCUUAAAAACUCUUCUCACAUUCCUCGCUCCAACUGAAUUUUGUAUCUUUUCGAGUCAGCUGCAUUAAUAGAGUAGCAAUUCAAGAAAACCCUUCUACGAAUCUCUGAUAAUAACCAGCUAAGCCGAGAAAGCUACGUACUUCAGUUACUUCAAUUACUGACUUAGGUUGCUCCCAACUUUGAAUUGCUUCAAUCUUUGCCAGGUCAACAAAUAUUCCAUGAUUUGAUAAUACGUGCCCAAGGAAUGCUACUUCCUCAAGCCAGAACUCGCAUUUCUUCAACUUGGCAUAUACCUUGUUUUCACGAAGCUUUUUAAGUAUCAGCCUCAAGUGUUGCUCAUGGUCUUCACGGGUUUUGGAAUAAAUGAGGAUGUCAUCAAUAAAGACGACCACAAAGUGAUCCAAAUAUUCCUUGAAUACUCGGUUCAUCAUAUCCAUGAAGGCAGCAGGAGCAUUAGUCAAUCCAAAAGACAUGACUAUGAAUUUAUAAUGCCCAUACCGAGUUCUGAAAGCAGUCUUUGGAAUGUCAUCAGUUUUAAUCUUCAACUGAUGAUAUUCAGAACGAAGAUCAAUAUUUGAAAAGAAUUUGGCGCCUUGCAACUGGUCAAACAGAUCAUCAAUACGAGGUAACGGGUACCUAUUUUUUAUGGUGAUAUAAUUCAACUCCCGAUAAUCAAUACAAAGUCGCAUACUUCCAUCUUUCUUCUUCACGAAUAGGACAGGAGCACCCCAAGGAGACGUACUAGGACGAAUGAAACCGAUGUCUAACAAUUCCUGUAGUUAGGUUUUUAACUCCUGAAGUUCAAUAGGAGUCAUUCGAUAUGGGGCUUUGAAAAUGGGUUUUGUACCGGUUUCAAGAUCGAUACAAAAUUCAAUUUCACGCUCUGGGGGUAGGCCAGGAAGUUCUUCAGGGAAUACGUCAGGAAAUUUAUUAACAAUAGAAAUAUCAUUCAAAUCUGACGUAUUUUUAUUUAAAUCCGUGACAUGGGCUAAGAAAGCUUGACAUCCGUUUUUCAAUAAACGAAUAGCUUUAUGGCUUGAUAUGACAGUGAUUGAUUUUAGUGGUUUGGCUGCUUGAAUUCGUAUAAUAGGUUGGUUAGGAAUAUGAAAGCUAACAACCUUACGAAAACAAUCGAUUUUAGCAUGAUGAAUAGUUAACCAAUCAAUCCCUAAAAUCACAUCAAAUGCAAGUAUUUUCAAAGAAAUAAGAUUGACAGAUAACGUGCGGUUACCGAUUUGAAUCAAACAAGACUUAUAAACAGUGGAUGUAAUGAAGGUUUCUCCCAACGGAGUUUCAACUGAUAAGUCAAGGUCUAAUUUCUCCGGAGUCAAAUUUAAACGUUGAGCGCAAGUAGGAGAAAUGAAAAAAUAGGUAGAACUAGUAUCAAAUAAAGUAUAAAUUUCGCUAGACUUUAUGAUUAACUUACCUGUGAUCACCUCGUUCGGAUUCCUCACUUUUUGGGAGGUCACGACAAACGCUCUUCCUUGAACUACCGAUUUUGUCUUGUCUGGGACCCCCUUUGAUGCCUCCAUCCCAGCUGGACUUGACUUUGGUACACGGCAAAAUCGGGCUAGGUAGCCUUCUUUUCCACAAUUAUAACAUGCUUUGGACUACAUCGUGCAGUUUGGACUUAUGUGUCCUUCCCCUCCACAUUUGUAACAUACGACCGGCGGUCGUUCUUCUUCCUUAACAGCGAGUGCUGGUGCUGACGUCUUUCAAUCUUUGCUGAACCUUCUCUUCUUGAACUUUCCACUCCUAUUGUCAUGGCAAUGAUUACCACCGAAGUGGUUAUCACUUCUGGCAAGUUGAUUCCCUCUGCGUUAUUCAUUGAAUCAUCCAUGGUCAUAACUAUACCGAAUAAUACCUGGUCAUAAUCAUACCAAAAAUUGUCCGUCAAUGCACUACAGGCUACUAAGGACUUUUACCACCUCAUUUAUAACAUUACAGGUCAUGAUUAUACCGAAUGAUCUCUAGUCAUAAUCAUACAAAGUCCAUCUAUGCACUUAAGCCAAAGAUAACUUUUAUCACAAUAUAAGCAUGAGGAUGAUGACAAUGACAUAAUAAUUCAAUAAAACAAGUUCAAGAAUAAAUUUUAAAGAUUUAUAAGUUAAUUUAGCAUGAACUCAAUAAUAUUCAAAUUGUCAACAUGAUACUUUUUUGUGGAGUAAAAAUUCAAGAAUGUUCAGAAGAAUAUUUUCAUUAAAAGAUACUGAAUGAAGUGCAAAUAUCAAAGAUAUUCCACUAAUUUCAUGGAGUAUAGAAGUUAAAGCUUUAACCAACUAAGUAUAAGAGAAUAUAUGAAACUACAAAUGGAUUUUCGGCCGCCACGCGGUACUCCACUUAGACUGAUCAUUUUCAUAAUUUAAUAAGGAAUGAAUACAAAGGUUCAUUCACCAUGCAUGUGAUAAUCCACAUAGACAGGUUAUUCCAACAGAAUGAUAAAUAAUGGAAUAACAGAAGAAAUCAUUAUGCAUGCGAUAGACCGCACAGACAGGUUAUUCCGACAGAAUAAUAAAUAAUGGAACCAGGUCCGGCGUAAACGCACAGACAGGAUAUUCCGACAGAAUAAUAAAUGAUGGAACCAGGUCCGGCGUAAACGCACAGACAGGAUAUUCCGACAGAAUAAUAAAUGAUGGAACCAGGUCCGGCGUAAACGCACAGACAGGAUAUUCCGACAGAGUAAUAAAGAACGGAAUAAUAUAAAAAUUUCACCAUGUAUACGGUACUUCGUAUAAACAGGUUAUUACAACAUAAUAAUAAAUAAUGGAAUAACAGAAGAAUUUCAUCAGAUUAUUCAAUAAGGAUUUCUACCUAUUGGCGCGCAAUUAGGUGACCAACCUCUCCUUGGCAGAACUUCUAGACAUUAUAAAUAUUAUAAUUUAAUAAUAUGAAUAACUUUGUCGUCUCAAUUAUUGAUUUAAUAAUAUAUCAUAUAAUGCAGAUGAUACUGUGACAAUAAUCGAAUCAAUAAUAUGAGAGAUAUGAUGCAACAAUUACUGUAGCAAUAAUUGAAUAUAACUGAGUGACUUCUCAUGUAAGCAUCAAUAACCAAUACCGUGUGCUACUAUAUAACCACGCGUAUAACUGUACUUUUACUACCGGAUAGUUCAACAGUUUUAACAGUAACACUUUCGCCGUUAUUUUUAUAACACGAUAAUUCUAUCGUUUUCUUACUACGAUAAUACUUCCGUUGUGGAGUCCACCAAUGAUUGUGCCGUCGUACGAAUAUUCCCUGUUAAAACGAAUAUUCUCCGACCAAUCGAAUAUUAUAUAACCACUUGCUUACUUUGUAAAAUUUAUAAAUAUUACCCAAAACUAUAACAUUAUAUCAUAUCCACACCAUAAUAUUCAAAAAUAUAUUUUGAGAGAAAUUAAUUUUUAUUCAUAAAAGUUGGGGUCUUACAAUAUUUAGUCUAGGACGCCAAAAUCGCUCCAGCAGAUGGACUAUAUUUAGUCGAUCAACUUUUUCGGCCGCUCAAAACGACCAAAUCUGCGAACGAAAAAUCAGCCAGACUAUAAUUUAAUAUAAUUAAAUGGAAAACUCUCUGUUAAAGAAAUUGAAGAAAAAAAAUAAGAAAAACUCUGUUGAAGAAGAUCUGUCGAAGAAGAAGGAGAUGAAGUGAGAGAACUGAAAGUGAAGUGAAGAAGAGAUGAACGGUAAUAAAGUACAAUCCAACGGAUAGAAAAAAAAAAUUCAGAACGGUAAUAAAGAGUACAAACGGAUAGAAAUUGAAAGCCUAAUUGGAAAUCUAUAAAUAUGUAUAAUAAUUCAAUUUAUUUUAUAUCUUUCAAUCAACUACUCCAACAUUUAGCAAUUGUAAGUAUUUUAUUAAUAAUAGUUUAUAUUUUUAUUAUAUUUGAUUUUUGUUUUUUAUUGAUAAUAUCUCUUUAAUUUAUUUUUUAGAUAAAAAAUUAUGAUCCUCCGAUGUAUUAUUCUUCAUUAUUAUCUGAAGGUUUCUCACUUGAUGAUCCAAAUUUGUUGGAUGAAUUUUCAAUUCAAAUUGAUGUACCAAUUCAGACUCCCAAAAAUGAGUCCAAUAAAAGAACAGGGCAAAAGAGAAAUUACACAAUUGAAGAAGAUGCUCUUCUUGUUUUCGAAUGGCUUAAUGUAAGUAUGGAUCCAAUUCAAGGAAACGAUCAAAAACAUGAAAGAUAUUGGGAAAGAGUUCACAAAUACAAAAAUUUUGAAUCUAAACGUAAUUCUACUGCUUUGGCGAAACGUUGGUCAACAAUUCAACUCGUGGUGAACAAAUUUUAUGGAUAUUAUGCUUCAAUUGAAAGAAUGCAACAAAGCGGUGUAAGCGAACAAGAUAAGGUAUUUCAAUUUUUUCAUAUAAAAUUUCAUUAAGUUUUAUUCUUAUAUUUUAUAUUUAAUACUUUGUAAAUAAUUUUUCAAUAGAUAUGUCAAGCAUUAGAGAUGUUCAAAAGUAUGCAAAAUCAACCAUUUGAAUUUAUGCAUUGUUGGAGAAUAUUAAAAGAUGCACCGAAAUAGAGAACAGAUAAUAGUAGAAAAAAAUAGAAAAAUAAUAGAAAGUCAAGUCCAACAGCAUCUUCUCCAUCAACUACAGAAGAAGUCAGUUUGGGUAAAGACGAUGGUAUUGAAGAUACAAUCUCUGCAAGAUUAGAGAGACCAAUAGGAAAAAAGGCUUCAAAAGCAUUAUUUAAAAAGGGCAAAGAAAUCGGUGAUACUAGUACACCUAUGGAGUUGAUGUUUGAGAAGUUCGAGCAUCAGAUUAAAUUGAACCAACAAAAGAGACAAGAGAACAUGGACAGAAUAUAUUUUCAAGAGCAAGAGAAGUUGAAUAUACUAAAAGCACAAGAAAAUGAAAGGAUCAUGAUGAUUGACACUGCUAACAUGGAGCUUAAAGUAGCUAAAUAUUACAAACAACGUAAGAAAGAAAUCAUGAAAAGAGUUACAUCUAAUAAUUGACUGGCUUAUUAUUGUAGUAGAAUAUAAUAGAGCCUGAAGUAGCUUAAUUUCCUUAUUAUUGUAGUAGAAUGUAAUGGAUUAGGCUCGGCCAUGUAGUGACCACAAGUGUUGAAUAAUAUCUUCUUGCAGUUUAGAAUGAACUUGUUUAUCCCUUAUGAAAGUAAUUGUGGGGUACGCUCAUGAGACACUUCUACAGUUGAAAUCUCGUCAUGUGUAUCGUAGGUUGUUGGUUCUUGAUUUUCAUCUCGUUCAUCUUCAACUAUCAUAUUAUGUAAUAUUAUGCAUACAGUCAUAAUUUCUUUUAGUGUUGUUUAAUCCCAAAAUCGUGCAGGACCACGAACUAUCACAAAACGUGCUUGCAGUACCCCAAAUGCUCGCUCAACAUCCUUUCUAAGCGCCUCUUGAGUCUUAGCAAAUAGUUUUCUUUUAUUUCCCUAAAGUGCCAAAAUGAUUUUAACAAAUAUUGUCCAUGGGGAAUAUAUACCAUCAACAAGAUAAUAUCCCAUCGUGUACUCAUUUUCAUUAAUUGAGUAGCUCACUGGUGGAGCACGACCUUCAGUAAGAGCAGAAAAGAUAGAUGAUCUCUCCAAAACGUUAAUAUCAUUAUGAGAGCUUGGUAAUCCAAAAAAUGCAUGUCAUAUCCAAAGAUCGUAUGAAACCACCGCUUCUAAAAUAAUUGUUGGCUCGUGCACAUAUCCAAAAUACAUAUCAUGCCAUGCAACUAGACAAUUCUUCCAUUUCUAAUGCAUACAAUCGAUGCUCCCCAACAUCCUAAGAAAACCACGCUCUUCAACUUUUGAUAGCAAUCUAACGAUGUCAUUACUAUUGGGUAAUCUCAAAUAUUCAUCACCAAAAAUUGAAAUGAAUGCUUUUACAAACCUUUUAAGACUCAAUAUAGCCAUGCUUUCACUGAUUCGCACAUAAUCAACGGAAUCCGCUGAAACACCAUAGGCAAACAUCCGUAUUGAGACAGUUAUCUUUUGUAGAGAAGAUAAACCGAGAUGUCCUGCAGCAUUCAUUUUUAGUACGAAAUAUGAAUUAUACGCUUCAACUGCUCUUUGAAUUCAGAAGAAAAACAGACACCACAUUCUAAACCUUCUCCAAAAUAGAUACCGAGGAGGGGGGUAUGUAGAAUUUUCUACAAAAUAAUCACAAAAAAAUCGAUUAUGACCUUCAUGUCUACCACGAUCAAUGAUAAUACAACCUUACACAGAACCACGAUGACGUAAUGUAUACCUAUUGACAUUUUUUUUUUCUUCUACAAUAACCAACAUGCCUAAUAAUUGUCCAUAUACUUUUUCAUCUUCUUCUUCAUCCACGUGCAACAUAACUAAUUCAAAUUAACAAGACAUUUAAAAUAACUUAUUUGACUGAAAAAAUAAAAUUAAAAUGAAUAAAUAUGAAAGAUUAGAUGCGACAUAUAUUUUAUAAAUACUAUUUAUUUAUUAAAAUAUAACCAUUAUAAUAUGACCGUUAAAAUAUGACCAUUAAAAUAUAGUCGUUGAAUUAUGCCCGUCAAAAUUUUUUUGAAUUAAUUGAUUAUUUUAAUUAUUUUAUAUUAUAAUCGACGAGAUAAUCCACAAGAUAGUCCAUCUGUUAAAAAAGAGCGAAGACUAAAAAACAUUUGCUAAUAUCAGAUAGACUAAAUAUAGUCCAGCAGAUCUAUCUAUUGGAGAUGCUCUAAACAGAAAUAGAUCAUAACUACAGUGAAGUUUAUCGGAUAUGCUUAGAUAUGGAGUAUGCAAGAAUUUAUGACAUCUAAUGUACUCAGAAAAAGGAUUUAACUAGCACAACUUUGCAGAAUUGUAACCCAACUCAGCGGCUUUAUCAUAAAAGUUUUGACAAAAAAAUAACCCACAACAGUUUAAAAUGAUAAUUGAGAAGAAAUAAAUGUCUAGCAUAGGAAGUUUUGAACUAUCAGCUCCAGCCAAAAACCAAAUAUAACUCAACACAUACAAGCAGUGAGUAAUCAAUCUUACUCAUGACAAAAAAUGAGAAGUGAUUUCAGCCAGUCCCAACACAAUAAACAAAGUAUACCAUUUAUGGACAGAAUAGAUGAGAUAGAGAAUAUACCUGAAAGAACAAUAUACAUUUAAAUAUACAUACAGAUUUUAAACAAUGUAUAGAUAUGCAUGUACAAAUACUUUAAUUACUUAAAAUACAUUCGUGUUUAAAAAAAACUGUAGAUAAGAAAUUUGUUGUUUUUGAAAGAAAUUUUAAUAUACUCUAAAAAAAUUACAAAUCUAGUCACGAAAAUUAGGAUUUAAACAGUUGUCACAAUCGUUGUUAAAAAAAUGAUUUGUUAGAUUAGAACUCAGAUCUUGAGCACUAAAUCUAACUAAAUUUGUUUAUCUGAAAACUCAUUUAAUCAAAAUGAACAACGAAACUUAACAGAUGAGAACGUUAAGAGUUUUCAGAUCUACAAACUUAGGGUUUUCCCCUUUUUAAAAAAAAAAUUGACACAAAUUAACACCAAAUACUGGUUUUUGAAAAAUAGAUUUUGAGAUAUAAAACUAUCCAUACUUAUUAAAAAAAAAAUCAGAGAAAGCCAACGGACAAAAAUGAACUGCAGAGAAAAACAAAAAGUAGAAUCAAACAAAUAAUUAGUAGAAGUAUGAUUUUGAGGGUGAUGAAUCGAUUGAUAGGAGCAGAUUAAUCGAAAUUGAAAUAAAAAUCAAGGACUUUUUACAGAGAACAGGGUUAGGGUUGAGAGAAUUUUGGGGAGAGAGAAAUGAGAUCCGGAAGAUAACAGAGAAGAGGAAGAGAAAUGAAAUUAAAAAU